rnacentral:lncRNA from 1 species
GGUAAACACAACCCACCUCAAAACGCGUUCCGAUUGCUUGUAGUCACUUACAAUCGGCCUCCCGCGACACCCGUGACCCGGUUCGGCCCGAACUCUCGCGCGACCACCCGAACGGCCACCAAUCCGCGAUCCAUCUGUUCUCGAGUUUAUUCCUCGAUACCACGAUGCUCCAGAUCCGAUCUCGUGAUUUUUAGACAUCUAUUCCGCGU